UACGUAGGGUGCAAGCGUUUGUCCGGGAAUUAUUGGGCGAAAGAGCUCGUAGGCGGUCUGUUGCGUCGGCUGUGAAAACCCGGGGCUCAACUCCGGGCCUGCAGCCGAUACGGGCAGACUAGAGUUCGGCAGGGGAGACUGGAAUUCCUGGUGUAGCGGUGAAAUGCGCAGAUAUCAGGAGGAACACCGGUGGCGAAGGCGGGUCUCUGGGCCGAUACUACGCUGAGGAGCGAAAGCGUGGGGAGCGAACAGG
rnacentral:rRNA from 1 species